rnacentral:lncRNA from 1 species
GGGAAGGGAAUAUAUACCCCUCACUGCCUGGCAUCCAAGCAGUGUCCUUUCCUUCAGUGGUAAACGUGGACUGUUUCUUGGAGUAUAGGAAAUGUUUGGUUUUUUGGUUUGUUUUUUUAAAUAAAAAGAAAGAUAUACUGGAGUUCCCAUCGUGGCUCAGCGGAAACAAAUCUGAAUAGCAUCCAUGAGGAUGCAGUUGGGUUCGCUAACCGCUAAGCCACAAUGGGAUGGGAGUUCCUGGACUUUUCUUAUCGAUGCCGCAUACUUGAGCUUUUGGAAGCUAUUUAGGAUCCAUUGACCCUUUGACUUCUGCCAGGAUCUUUUUUGCUGUUGCUGGAAAUUUGGAGAUAGAGAGUGGAAGCAUGGGGUGUUCUCAGGUCAUCCCAGUGAAAGAGUUAAGCCAUUUUUUAAAAGCCUAAAAGUAGUUUUCAGAAUUACUUAAUUCUCAAUGGAAAAUCCCUAGCUUUUUCUUUCCAGAAUCUUUCUCUCCCCCCAAGUCAAUGUCUGCUGCAGCCCCCAAUUCAUAGUGUAUUGUGUGUUUAUCGCCACCUCCAGAGAGGGAGGGAUGCUAAUGUUCUGAGAGGGAAUUAAAUUCUGGGUCACAGGUUGUCAUUGACAAUUCACUGCAGACCAACUUCGACCCAGAUAAAGGAGCUCGAGGCAUUUCCCAGGGAGGUGCCUUCAGCCCCAGUGUUGACCUCCUGGAUAGGUAUUCUCCUGACGUUUAAAGGUACAGCUGGUUUCCAUUUGAAAGCAGAAGGAUGGAGCUGCUCAAGGAUCCAGUGCCUCUGCUAGGUGAAGGCUGCUUUGCUAAAAUGUGUGCAACACACAGCAAGGAACCUGAGAAAUAAGCUUCCAUUUUGCUUAGCCUUAGCACAGGAAAUUAUGUCUGGCUUGUUUUUGUUGUGAACACAGAGAGCAUUGCAUAUUAAAAAUUCUCUGUAGUUGUUUAAUAUUUACUGCAUGGUGGGCUGCGAGCCCCUAAUCAAGGCUCUCUGUCACUGUUUGGAUUGGAUGCAUGAAUUGUGACACUGAAAAUCUCAAGACGGUAAACCUCUGCAGCUGUGGAAGCUGGAGCUAUUUACCGGGGCUAUUAAAGGAGCCUGCAUGACUUCUUGGGGAUGGGGGGUGAGCUAAGAUGGAGUGAAAUUCACAAGGUACACAGGGAUUGAAAAUGAAGGUUUUGGAGUUCCCGUUGUGGUGCAGCGGAAACGAAUCCGACUAGUAUCCCUGAGGAUGCAGGUUUGAUCCCUGGCCUGGCUCAGUGGGGUUAAGGAUCCAGAGUUGCCAUGAGUUGUGGUGUAAGUUGGAAACAUGCCUCGGAUCCUCGUUGCUAUGGCUGUGGCAUAGGCUGGUGGCUACAGCUCCAAUUCAGUGCCUAGCCUAGGAACUUCCACAUGCCACAGGUAUGGCCCUAAACAGAAAAAGAUAAUGAAGGUUCUUUUAUGAGCACAGCCCUGUAACAGUAUCCUCAUAGAAAUAGAUAUGGUUUAAUAACACUUGCUUCAUGAAUUGACAAACAAAAUAUUCUGCGGUCUUUUUGCUUUUUAGAGGGAAAAAUAAGAGUCCAAAGGUGAAUAUUAAAGUCAACAUAUUUAGUGCUUUAGAACAGUGUUUGAAGGGAAUGUUUUUUCAAGGUACUUUGUAGAAACAAGUGUCACUUUUAUUUCCUAAAGGCAGUUUUGAAGGAUUUGUCAUGACGUUUUUAUAGCCUUAUUCUCCUUGAAAAAGCAGAAGUGGAGAAAUUUUGUAUUUUCGUUAUCUAAAGACGCAACUCCUUGGCCUGCCUCCUGCUAUUUGGGGACCUGAGGAAUGUCGUCCGGUUACAAAGGGUUUGUAGGAGGGCCUGAACCCCAAGGUUAGGAACUGAGACCAACACCAUGCCUAAGAUACAUCUUUUCCAGAGUGUUUUUUGGUUCACUUGUUUAUUCCUUUUUCAAUCGUUUGUCCCUUUAAGAAAUGUUUACUGAGCAGCUACUCUGAGCCCAGAACUGUGCCAGGUACUGGGAGGUCUCAGUUAAAGGCAGCUUGCCCCCAAGGACAGGGCUUCCUGCCAAGAAUGUACUGUCCUCACUGCUCAGUGUGUGGAGCAGCUGGAGCCCCGGUUCAGCCUUGACAUUCAGCAGAACUCGGUGUGUCUGCAUCUAAAAGCACGAACCUGUUUGCUUGACUGUUCUUCUGAUUGUCGGCAUCUUUGCUGUUGUGUAAAAGACAUUAUUCAUUUGAAAGGCACUCUUCUAAUUGGAUAUUAAUCUCUGUCAUAUCUAGAAGCAGCCGUAAAAGCCCUAAGAAACAGUUUAUAGAAAAUAUUUUUGAGUCAUUUAAAGAAAGUAACUGUAAAUUUGGCAUCGUUUCCAAGUUAACUGUCAAGGGUAAACAUCAGGCAGAUCCUGCAAAGUUACAGAAAUGUGGCGAAUGUAUUUUCUUUGAGGCAAGAGCAGGAUAAUUUAGGGACGAAGCUUCUAAAAUACUAAUUCAGCAAAGCAAAUGCAGGACUGUGGGGGACCCAGUCAUCAUGGGGGAUUGGACACAGUGGGAGAUAUGAUGUAGGGUCUUCAGCUUAAUCUGGGGCAGGAAGUGAAACUUAAGCCCUUGACUUAGAAGACAAUGUGCCCCAAGCUAUCAGAGCAACGCCAGAAAGUACAGUGAGUGCCGGCCCCUGUGGCUGGAGGACCAGUGAAAUGUUGGGGCCUUGGGAAUGCGCCAAGAAGCCAGACUGAAAACAUGCCAGAGCCAUCCCCUGUUCCCACCUGGAAUGUGUAUGCUGUUCCUGGCCUUGUUCCUCAAGAAAAACAGUUUAGCAUCAGCAACGUUCAGAGAAACACAGUUACAAUGAUAAAGGGAAACAAAGGGUGAUGGUGAGAAAGGACACGGGCCAUAUUAGGAGAAAACAAAAAGGCUGAGAUGCUUCACUUUGUAGAAAUGGAGGUUGAAAUGAGUUGGGUCUAUAAAACAAGGUUACAGCUAAGGUCAAUGCUAAAUCUCAGUAUGACUAGAAGCCUUAUUGGUUGCAAAGCCUUCAGCAAGGCAUCUCCUUUCUCAGGACCCAAGUUUCUUCUUUUGUAAUUUACAUGCCAAGAUGUACUCAGCAGCACACCUGUCCUGCAAGAUGCUUGCGGGGAGGAAAAAAAAAAAAAUGUGUUUUUUAGCCAAGCAAAUCUGUAAAUCUCCCCAUAACAUAAGUUCUUCCAGGAGAGUGGUCCCUCUUUGCAUUUGACAUUAAAAGCUCUCCAAAGCUCAUCCUUCAGGAGGAUCCGUUUAACUUUUGUGGAUCUCAGGCAGUAUUUCCCAUGGAAUCCUUUGUUCGCACGGAGUGCCUAUGAGGACUUUGGAAAAUGAUUUUGGAAAGACUGCAGUCCAAGAUCUGAGGAAGCCCAUCUCAGACACAGAAAGUACUUCCUAACAGUGUGAAACUUGUCACUUCUAGCGCUGAUACAGGAAGAAAACCAGAGUGUGCAAGGAGUAGCAGUUUAGAGGCAUUUACGGAUGAUGGCAGGUUUAUCAAAGGGAGAAAGUUCACAAUAUAAAGGAAAACCAUUCUGGGCUACACAGGGCUUUGGGGAGCUGGUACUGAGACCCAGGCCUCUGCAUCAGGACUUAGAAUGUAUCAGGACAUAACAUAGGCACCAUUGGAAGAGAAAAUACAGAGCAGCAGCUCAUUUAAAUUUUGGCUGAAUCGGGCAGACAGUUCUGCAUCAUAAUGAAAUUAUAGAGAAUUGGACAAUGGUUCUCUUGGAUCAUUUGGCUCAUCACCUUCCAUUAUUUGAAGUUUGAGUUCAUGUCCAUUAUGACCAUAUCAGUCAUUUUCUAUAGCUUGUCUCCUAAAACCUGGCUAAGGAUUUUGCCACAACUGUUCUAUAGUUUUAUAGACUUGUGUGAACCUGUUUUUUUUUUUUUUUUUCCUCCUUGAAACCUUUUGCUAUUUUGAGAAAGUAUUUUAUGGAGAUCUUCUUGGGGCUCAGUGGUAAUGAACCCAACUAGUAUCCAUGAGGAUGCAUGUUCCAUCCCUGGCCUCACUCAGUGGGUUAAGGAUCCAGCAUUGCCAUGCGCUGUAGUGUAGGUCGCAGACAUGGCUUAGAUCUGCUGUUGCUAUGGCUGUGGUGUAGGCAGCUGGAGCUCUGAUUCAGCCCCUAGCCUGGGAAUUUCCAUAUGCUGCAGGUGCAGC